rnacentral:rRNA from 1 species
CCUACGGGAGGCUGCAGUGGGGAAUAUUGGGCAAUGGGCGCAAGCCUGACCCAGCAACGCCGCGUGAAGGAAGAAGGCUCUCGGGUUGUAAACUUCUUUUCUCAGGGACGAAGCAAGUGACGGUACCUGAAGAAAAAGCAUCGGCUAACUCCGUGCCAGCAGCCGCGGUAAUACGGAGGAUGCGAGCGUUAUCCGGAUUUAUUGGGUUUAAAGGGUGCGUAGGCGGAAUGCCAAGUCAGCGGUAAAAUCGCGGGGCUCAACCUCGCUCCGCCGUUGAAACUGGCGUUCUUGAGUGGGCGAGAAGUAUGCGGAAUGCGUGGUGUAGCGGUGAAAUGCAUAGAUAUCACGCAGAACUCCGAUUGCGAAGGCAGCAUACCGGCGCCCAACUGACGCUGAGGCACGAAAGCGUGGGGAUCGAACAGGAUUAGAUACCCUUGUAGUC